GUCCUCACUUCCCCAAGGAAUUAUUAGGGUGAAUUUUCCAAGACCAAGGCCAAGUCUCUGCACAAAAUCAUCAGACUGGAACAAAAUUCGAACUUAAUUUGUAACUUGUCAUGAUUAAACUUUAUACCAAUUGUUAGAUCAAUAUGUUCAAGCUUCACGAAAAAAAAGUGAGAAAAACUGAUUAUUUGAGUGGGCCAUAACUCGGCAAAAAAAUCAUAAGACCAGACCAAAAUUCGAACUUGAUUUAUAACUAAGUAUGGUGCUGAACAAUAACAGGAAGAAAAUUCAGUCUGCUACACAAAGAUGAAGACAGUCAAUCAAAUAUCUGUUCAACAACCCUCCGCAUUAAGACAGUUACAACCAGCUGUCAAGAUCUGAACAAACUACCAUCUUCAGAUUUAGGUCAGGACACAACAGACUCAAUCAACAUCUUUAAAAAGUCCUGAAAGUUGUUCCAUCUCCAAUGUGUCCUUAUUGAAGAACAGAGCAGGAUACUGUACAUCUCUUACAGUCAUGAAAUCUAAUUAAAAUAUUGAUC
rnacentral:lncRNA from 1 species